UACGUAGGGGGCGAGCGUUGUCCGCAGUUACUGGGCGUAAAGCGCGUGUAGGCGGUCUUUUAAGCCUGGGGUGAAAGGUUCAGCGCUCAACGCGAACAGUGCCUUGGAUACUGGGGGACUUGAGUCCGGGAGGGGGCAGUGGAAUUCCUGGUGUAGCGGUGAAAUGCGUAGAUAUCAGGAGGAACACCAAUGGCGAAGGCAGCUCGCUGGAACGGUACUGACGCUGAGGCACGAAGGUCAGGGGAGCAAACGGG
rnacentral:rRNA from 1 species